AUGCAAUCAAACCCUCCGUGUUCUCUGACCUGUGAGACCUGGGAAGAAAAGACUGCAAACAACAAACAAAUCCCUUGGUGUUUUUGAGGCUUAUGACUUGUAGAAGUCUUUUUAAAGAACCUUGGAGACAGUU